AGAGUUUGAUCAUGGCUCAGAACGAACGCUGGCGGCGUGCUUAACACAUGCAAGUCGCGUGCGCAGUUUCCGUAGCAAUACGGGGAUGGGCGCACGGCGCACGGGUGCGUAACACGUGGGCAAUCUGCCCUCCGAUGGGGAAUACCCCCGCGAAAGCGGGACUAAUUCCGCAUAACAUUCCUGGGAUUAACUUUCGAGGAUUCAAAGCAGCAAUGCGUCGGAGGAGGAGCCCGCGCCCGAUUAGCUAGUUGGUGAGGUAACGGCUCACCAAGGCAAUGAUCGGUAGCUGGUCUGAGAGGAUGGCCAGCCACACUGGAACUGAGACACGGUCCAGACUCCUACGGGAGGCAGCAGUGGGGAAUCUUGCACAAUGGGCGAAAGCCUGAUGCAGCGACGCCGCGUGGGGGAUGAAGCUUUUCGGAGUGUAAACCCCUUUCGACUGGGACGAAUGCCUCGCAAGAGGAGUGACGGUACCAGUAUAAGAAGCCCCGGCUAACUACGUGCCAGCAGCCGCGGUAAGACGUAGGGGGCCAGCGUUGUUCGGAAUUACUGGGUGUAAAGGGUUCGUAGGCGGUGUGGCAAGUCGGGAGUGAAAUCUCUGGGCUCAACCCAGAGACUGCUUCCGAAACUGCUGUGCUUGAGUGUGAGAGAGGCUCGUGGAAUUGCAGGUGUAGCGGUGAAAUGCGUAGAUAUCUGCAGGAACACCCGUGGCGAAAGCGGCGAGCUGGAUCACUACUGACGCUGAGGAACGAAAGCUAGGGGAGCAAACAGGAUUAGAUACCCUAGUAGUCC
rnacentral:rRNA from 1 species